GGAGAGGUGCUCGAGUGGUUUAAGAGGCACGCUUGGAAAGCGUGUGUACUCCAAAAGGGUACCGGGGGUUCGAAUCCCUUCCUCUCCGC
rnacentral:tRNA from 1 species